rnacentral:tRNA from 2 species
UGGGUUGUGGCUCAGUGGUAGAGUGCUCACCUAGCAUGUAUGAGGCACUGGGUUUGAUUCUCAGCAUCACAU